rnacentral:rRNA from 1 species
CAAUAGCGUAUAUUAAAGUUGUUGCAGUUAAAAAGCUCGUAGUUGGAUUUCUGGUCGGAAGCUCCUGUCCUCUGAUGAGCGUACAAGUGCGUCCUACCAUCCUUCUGUUAACCUUUAAGGCUUUCGCGGCUUUCUAGGGGCUCAGAUAUUUUACCUUGAGAAAAUUAGAGUGUUUCAGGCAGGCUAGCGCCGGAAUACAUUAGCAUGGAAUAAUGGAAUAGGACUUUUGCCUCUUCUGUUGGUCAUGAGGCUCGAGUAAUGAUUAAUAGGGAUAGUUGGGGGCAUUAGUACUUAACUGUCAGAGGUGAAAUUCUCGGAUUUGUUAAAGACUAACUUAUGCGAAAGCAUUUGCCAAGGACGUUUUCAUUAA